UACGUAGGGGGCAAGCGUUGUCCGGAAUUAUUGGGCGUAAAGAGCGCGUAGGCGGUCCGAUAAGUCGGCUGUGAAAGUCAGGGGCUCAACCCUUGAAAGCCGGCCGAUACUGUCGGACUAGAGUCCGGAAGAGGCGAGUGGAAUUCCCGGUGUAGCGGUGAAAUGCGCAGAUAUCGGGAGGAACAUCGAUGGCGAAGGCAAUCACCUGGGCCUGAACUGACACUGUGACACGAAAGCGUGGGUAGCAAACAGG
rnacentral:rRNA from 1 species